UGGAUCCAGACUUUGAUCAUGGCUCAGGAUGAACGCUAGCUACAGGCUUAACACAUGCAAGUCGAGGGGAAACGACAUCGAAAGCUUGCUUUUGAUGGGCGUCGACCGGCGCACGGGUGAGUAACGCGUAUCCAACCUGCCCACCACUUGGGGAUAACCCUGCGAAAGUAAGACUAAUACCCAAUGACGUCUCUAGAAGACAUCUGAAGGAGAUUAAAGAUUUAUCGGUGAUGGAUGGGGAUGCGUCUGAUUAGCUUGUUGGCGGGGUAACGGCCCACCAAGGCAACGAUCAGUAGGGGUUCUGAGAGGAAGGUCCCCCACAUUGGAACUGAGACACGGUCCAAACUCCUACGGGAGGCAGCAGUGAGGAAUAUUGGUCAAUGGACGAGAGUCUGAACCAGCCAAGUAGCGUGCAGGAUGACGGCCCUAUGGGUUGUAAACUGCUUUUAUAAGGGAAUAAAGUGAGUCUCGUGAGACUUUUUGCAUGUACCUUAUGAAUAAGGACCGGCUAAUUCCGUGCCAGCAGCCGCGGUAAUACGGAAGGUCCGGGCGUUAUCCGGAUUUAUUGGGUUUAAAGGGAGCGUAGGCCGGAGAUUAAGCGUGUUGUGAAAUGUAGAUGCUCAACAUCUGCACUGCAGCGCGAACUGGUUUCCUUGAGUACGCACAAAGUGGGCGGAAUUCGUGGUGUAGCGGUGAAAUGCUUAGAUAUCACGAAGAACUCCGAUUGCGAAGGCAGCUCACUGGAGCGCAAUUGACGCUGAAGCUCGAAAGUGCGGGUAUCGAACAGGAUUAGAUACCCUGGUAGUCCGCACGGUAAACGAUGGAUGCCCGCUGUUGGUCUGAAUAGGUCAGCGGCCAAGCGAAAGCAUUAAGCAUCCCACCUGGGGAGUACGCCGGCAACGGUGCAACUCAAAUGAAUUGACGGA
rnacentral:rRNA from 1 species